UACGUAGGGUGCAAGCGUUAAUCGGAAUUACUGGGCGUAAAGCGUGCGCAGGCGGUUCUAUAAGACAGAUGUGAAAUCCCCGGGCUCAACCUGGGAACUGCAUUUGUGACUGUAGAGCUGGAGUGCGGCAGAGGGGGAUGGAAUUCCGCGUGUAGCAGUGAAAUGCGUAGAUAUGCGGAGGAACACCGAUGGCGAAGGCAAUCCCCUGGGCCUGCACUGACGCUCAUGCACGAGAGCGUGGGGAGCAAACAGG
rnacentral:rRNA from 1 species